UAGAUGCGAGAGUAGAGCAUAUCAAUAAGCGGAGGAAAAGAAACUAACAAGGAUUCCCCUAGUAACGGCGAGUGAAGCGGGAAGAGCUCAAAUUUGAAAUCUUAAAGGGUUUCCCUUUACGAAUUGUAGUUUAAAGAAGUGUUUUCUGUUGGAGUUUCGGUAAAAGUUCUUUGGAAUAGGACAUCAUAGAGGGUGAGAAUCCCGUAUUUGAUCCGUUACUUUCCAGCUGUGUGAUACACUUUCAAAGAGUCGGAUUGUUUGGGAAUGCAGUCCAAGAUGGGUGGUAAAUUUCAUCUAAAGCUAAAUAUUGGCGAGAGACCGAUAGCGAACAAGUACCGUGAGGGAAAGAUGAAAAGAACUUUGAAAAGAGAGUUAAACAGUACGUGAAAUUGUCAAAAGGGAAGCGUUUGACACCAGUGUUGUUUAGUUGAAAAUCAAUUCAAUAUUUUUUGAUUCUAAGUAGUAUUGACUUCAUCAGCUUGCUGCUUUCUUCUCAGGAAAUUAUUGAAUGCACUUUUCAGUUAACAAGUCAACAUCAAUUUCUUUCGUUGUAAAAGGGUAAGAGGAAGGUGGCUUGCGCUUCGGCUCAAGUGUUUAUAGCCUUUUAUCUCUAGCAAUCGGAGAGAUUGAGGUCUGCAGCGUAGAUCCUUCGGGGUUAGAUACAGUUGUGCUAAGCUAUAGCCUUGUAUAGACAACUUGUUGACUAUGCUCAGUCAUGUAGCUUACUCGCUUAUGCUAUUUUACCUACGCUUAGGAUGUUGACACACGCGCGUGCUCG
rnacentral:rRNA from 1 species